UACGUAGGUGGCAAGCGUUGUCCGGAAUUAUUGGGCGUAAAGCGCGCGCAGGCGGUCUCUUAAGUCUGAUGUGAAAGCCCACGGCUCAACCGUGGAGGGUCAUUGGAAACUGGGAGACUUGAGUGCAGAGGAGAAGAGCGGAAUUCCACGUGUAGCGGUGAAAUGCGUAGAGAUGUGGAGGAACACCAGUGGCGAAGGCGGCUCUUUGGUCUGUAACUGACGCUGAGGCGCGAAAGCGUGGGGAGCGAACAGG
rnacentral:rRNA from 1 species